rnacentral:rRNA from 1 species
AGUGAACGCUGGCGGUAGGCCUAACACAUGCAAGUCGAACGGCAGCACAGUAAGAGCUUGCUCUUACGGGUGGCGAGUGGCGGACGGGUGAGGAAUACAUCGGAAUCUACUUUUUCGUGGGGGAUAACGUAGGGAAACUUACGCUAAUACCGCAUACGACCUACGGGUGAAAGCAGGGGAUCUUCGGACCUUGCGCGAUUGAAUGAGCCGAUGUCGGAUUAGCUAGUUGGCGGGGUAAAGGCCCACCAAGGCGACGAUCCGUAGCUGGUCUGAGAGGAUGAUCCGCCACACUGGAACUGAGACACGGUCCAGACUCCUACGGGAGGCAGCAGUGGGGAAUAUUGGACAAUGGGCGCAAGCCUGAUCCAGCCAUACCGCGUGGGUGAAGAAGGCCUUCGGGUUGUAAAGCCCUUUUGUUGGGAAAGAAAAGCAGCAGGUUAAUACCCUGCUGUUCUGACGGUACCCAAAGAAUAAGCACCGGCGAACUUCGU